rnacentral:rRNA from 1 species
GAUGAACGCUAGCGGCAGGCUUAAUACAUGCAAGUCGUGGGGCAGCAUGAGUAGCAAUACUUGAUGGCGACCGGCAAACGGGUGCGGAACACGUACACAACCUUCCGAUAAGUGGGGAAUAGCCCAGAGAAAUUUGGAUUAAUACCCCGUAACAUAUAGAGUAGGCAUCUUCUUUAUAUUAUAGCUUCGGCGCUUAUUGAUGGGUGUGCGUCUGAUUAGGUAGUUGGCGGGGUAACGGCCCACCAAGCCUACGAUCAGUAGCUGAUGUGAGAGCAUGAUCAGCCACACGGGCACUGAGAGACGGGCCCGACUCCUACGGGAGGCAGCAGUAAGGAAUAUUGGACAAUGGGCGAAAGCCUGAUCCAGCCAUGCCGCGUGAAGGAUUAAGGUCCUCUGGAUUGUAAACUUCUUUUAUUUGGGACGAAAAAAGGGAAUUCUUUCCCACUUGACGGUACCAAGUGAAUAAACACCGGCUAACUCCGUGCCAGCAGCCGCAGUAA